UACGUAGGGGGCAAGCGUUGUCCGGAAUUACUGGGCGUAAAGCGCGCGUAGGCGGCUCUUCAAGUCAGGCGUGAAAGCCCCGAGCUUAACUCGGGAACUGCGCUUGAUACUGUCGAGCUAGAGUGUGGAAGGGGCGAUUGGAAUUCCGUGUGUAGCGGUGAAAUGCGUAGAUAUACGGAGGAACACCAGGGGCGAAGGCGGAUCGCUGGGCCAACACUGACGCUGAUGCGCGAAAGCUAGGGGAGCAAACGGG
rnacentral:rRNA from 1 species